rnacentral:rRNA from 1 species
GAAUUUUGGGCAAUGGGCGCAAGCCUGACCCAGCGACACCGCGUGGGGGAUGAAGGCCUUCGGGUCGUAAACCCCUGUCAGGAGGGAAGAAGCCCCGCAAGGGGUGACGGUACCUCCAGAGGAAGCCCCGGCUAACUACGUGCCAGCAGCCGCGGUAAGACGUAGGGGGCGAGCGUUGUCCGGAUUUACUGGGCGUAAAGCGCGUGUAGGCGGCCUGCUAAGUGGCGUGUGAAAGCUCACCGCUCAACGGUGAGAGGCCGCGCCAUACUGGUGGGCUUGAGGGUGGCAGAGGGUGAUGGAAUUCCCGGUGUAGCGGUGAAAUGCGUAGAUAUCGGGAGGAACGCCAGUGGCGAAGGCGGUCACCUGGGCCAUCCCUGACGCUGAGACGCGAAAGCUGGGGGAGCGAAC